AUACUUACCUGGCAAGGGAGAUACCAUGAUCACAAAGGUGGUUUUUGAAGAGUGAGGCUUAUCCAUUGCACUCCGGAUGUGCUGACCCCUGCGAUUUCCCCAAAUGUGGGAAACUAACCUGAGUAAUUUGUGGUAGUGGGGAACUGUGAUCACUCUCUCCCCUA